rnacentral:rRNA from 1 species
GACGAACGCUGGCGGCGUGCUUAACACAUGCAAGUCGAACGGAAGGGCCCUGCUUUUGUGGGGUGCUCGAGUGGCGAACGGGUGAGUAACACGUGAGUAACCUGCCCUUGACUUUGGGAUAACUUCAGGAAACUGGGGCUAAUACCGGAUAGGAGCUCCUGCUGCAUGGUGGGGGUUGGAAAGUUUCGGCGGUUGGGGAUGGACUCGCGGCUUAUCAGCUUGUUGGUGGGGGAGUGGCUUACCAAGGCUUUGACAGGUAGCCGGCCUGAGAGGGUGAACGGCCACAUGGGGACUGAGAGACGGCCCAGACUCCUACGGGAGGCAGCAGUGGGGAAUAUUGCACAAUGGGCGGAAGCGUGAUGCAGCAACGCCGCGUGCGGGAUGACGGCCUUCGGGUUGUAAACCGCGUUCGCCUGUGACGAAGCGUGAGUGACGGUAAUGGGUAAAGAAGCACCGGCUAACUACGUG